GUGGGGAAUAUUGGACAAUGGGCGCAAGCCUGAUCCAGCAAUACCGCGUGUGUGAAGAAGGCCUGAGGGUUGUAAAGCACUUUUAAUCGGGAGGAAUACCUAAUCGCUAAUACCGAUUAGAAUGACAUUACCGAUAGAAAAAGCACCGGCUAACUCCGUGCCAGCAGCCGCGGUAAUACGGAGGGUGCAAGCGUUAAUCGGAAUUACUGGGCGUAAAGCGUGCGUAGGCGGUGUUUUAAGUCAGAUGUGAAAGCCCCGGGCUUAACCUGGGAAUGGCAUUUGAUACUGGAUCACUAGAGUUUGGAAGAGGAAAGUGGAAUUUCAGGUGUAGCGGUGAAAUGCGUAGAUAUCUGAAGGAACACCAGUGGCGAAGGCGACUUUCUGGUCUAAAACUGACGCUGAGGUACGAAAGCAUGGGUAGCAAACAGGAUUAGAUACCCCAGUAGUCC
rnacentral:rRNA from 1 species